rnacentral:rRNA from 1 species
CUGGAGGACCGAACCGACUAAUGUUGAAAAAUUAGCGGAUGACUUGUGGCUGGGGGUGAAAGGCCAAUCAAACCGGGAGAUAGCUGGUUCUCCCCGAAAGCUAUUUAGGUAGCGCCUCGUGAAUUCAUCUUCGGGGGUAGAGCACUGUUUCGGCUAGGGGGUCAUCCCGACUUACCAACCCGAUGCAAACUACGAAUACCGAAGAAUGUUAUCACGGGAGACACACGGCGGGUGCUAACGUCCGUCGUGAAGAGGGAAACAACCCAGACCGCCAGCUAAGGUCCCAAAGUCAUGGUUAAGUGGGAAACGAUGUGGGAAGGCACAGACAGCCAGGAUGUUGGCUUAGAAGCAGCCAUCAUUUAAAGAAAGCGUAAUAGCUCACUGGUCGAGUCGGCCUGCGCGGAAGAUGUAACGGGGCUAAACCAUGCACCGAAGCUGCGGCAGCGACACUAUGUGUUGUUGGGUAGGGGAGCGUUCUGUAAGCCUGCGAAGGUGUGCUGUGAGGCAUGCUGGAGGUAUCAGAAGUGCGAAUGCUGACAUAAGUAACGAUAAAGCGGGUGAAAAGCCCGCUCGCCGGAAGACCAAGGGUUCCUGUCCAACGUUAAUCGGGGCAGGGUGAGUACAAAUGCCCUGCUUCCAGGAAAAGCCUCUAAGCAUCAGGUAACAUCAAAUCGUACCCCAAACCGACACAGGUGGUCAGGUAGAGAAUACCAAGGCGCUUGAGAGAACUCGGGUGAAGGAACUAGGCAAAAUGGUGCCGUAACUUCGGGAGAAGGCACGCUGAUAUGUAGGUGAAGCGACUUGCUCGUGGAGCUGAAAUCAGUCGAAGAUACCAGCUGGCUGCAACUGUUUAUUAAAAACACAGCACUGUGCAAACACGAAAGUGGACGUAUACGGUGUGACGCCUGCCCGGUGCCGGAAGGUUAAUUGAUGGGGUUAUCCGUAAGGAGAAGCUCUUGAUCGAAGCCCCGGUAAACGGCGGCCGUAACUAUAACGGUCCUAAGGUAGCGAAAUUCCUUGUCGGGUAAGUUCCGACCUGCACGAAUGGCGUAAUGAUGGCCAGGCUGUCUCCACCCGAGACUCAGUGAAAUUGAACUCGCUGUGAAGAUGCAGUGUACCCGCGGCAAGACGGAAAGACCCCGUGAACCUUUACUAUAGCUUGACACUGAACAUUGAGCCUUGAUGUGUAGGAUAGGUGGGAGGCUUUGAAGUGUGGACGCCAGUCUGCAUGGAGCCGACCUUGAAAUACCACCCUUUAAUGUUUGAUGUUCUAACGUGGGCCCCUUACCGGGGUUGCGGACAGUGUCUGGUGGGUAGUUUGACUGGGGCGGUCUCCUCCUAAAGAGUAACGGAGGAGCACGAAGGUUGGCUAAUCCUGGUCGGACAUCAGGAGGUUAGUGCAAUGGCAUAAGCCAGCUUGACUGCGAGCGUGACGGCGCGAGCAGGUGCGAAAGCAGGUCAUAGUGAUCCGGUGGUUCUGAAUGGAAGGGCCAUCGCUCAACGGAUAAAAGGUACUCCGGGGAUAACAGGCUGAUACCGCCCAAGAGUUCAUAUCGACGGCGGUGUUUGGCACCUCGAUG